GGAUCAUCCAGUUCCAACCCCCCUACCAUGGGCAGGGAUAUCUCACGUUAGACCAUAUCACCCACAGUUCUGUCCAACCUGGCCUUGAGCACUGGUGGGGAUGGAGCAUUUGGGCAGUAUUUGUUCUCCCUCCCUGACAGAUGACUUCAGGCUGACACACCAAGGCUGGAGAUCUGUUCUGAUUUUCAUCUGUGUUGGAUAAAAUUGGCUGUAAAUUAUUUAUAACAUCAAUCUAAGUCCAUUUUUUCACCCCUUUUAUACUCAUGAAUUAAGCAGAGUUCAAAUGAAUGUCUGUGAGAGAGGAGGUGGGAGGCUUUAAGGUAAUGAGAAUAACAGGCAGCUGCUGCAUGUUGGCUCCAUCAGUGCACUUCAGCACCCCCCUGUCUAUUGGGGGAUGCAUUGACUUGCAUUAACCACAAUACAGUCAGUGUUUUUAAAGCAGCAAAACUCUUCUGUUUGGGUGCAGGUUCCCUUAGUUCUGCAGUUCAGGUUUCUCCACAGGCUCACCAACAACAGCAAGUGCCAUUGUGCUGGUGACAGCUGGCUUUCUUAGAGGAGAAGAGGGGAACAAGAUGCAAUUGAGGCUUUGCAGCUUAGAGGUGCAGAAAGAAAAGUCUGACUUAUUGCUGUGGUGCUAUUACUAAAACCACUUUAAAUGUCUUUGUAAAAGUCUUCCAUGCCCGGUGGGGUUGACUGCAGAGCCCAAAGGAGCAGCCUGGAUGCGGGACCUGUUUUUGGGCAGCCUUGGAGGAUGCUGCAGGUUGAGUGCCCCAGUGCAACCAUCUCCCCGAAGAACACCCAAAUGCAGUGUCCUGGUGGGUAGAGCACCGGUUGCCUUCAGACCAUCUUGGCUGACCUGCAGAGAGCUUGUUGUUUCCCUAUGGCACCAUGAACGAUCUGGGCAAUAAAUGCUUGUGACAUCAAUACUUCAUGAGAACGAACCAUGGACGAUUGCCAAGUGCUGCUUUGGCAUUGCAGGUGGAGGGUGAGGAUUUAAUCAGUUUGGUUUAAAGAUGGUUUAAGUGACAGCUCAAGUUGUAUACAGUUGGAGAAGUCGGGGUGAGUGAACACCAUACAGAUGAGCCGUUACUUCUACAAGGAAGUUUCCUAGUGUAAGACACUUUAUAUGUGAAUUUGUUGCUUGGGAGCUAUUGGUUGUAUGUUCUACUUCAUGUGAAAUAGCAUUGUGAAGCGCUUAUUUGUGUUCAUUUACACAUUUAUCUGUGUAUGCAUGCAUAUAUAUAUACACUCACACACUUAAAGAUCUGUAUACAUAUUUUGUAUGCAUUUUCCAUGUGUAUAUAUAUAUAAUAUGCACAAAUUAUAUAUACGUAUGCACACAUACAGAAUGCAAAAGUGCUAGGAUGAAGUGCUAGGAUGCUUUAAUACCAACAGCUAUUUUUAGCUGAUUAAAUAAGAACAGGAAACAUUUCUAGUGUCUGAGUUCUUGCCAGCUGUUAAGAUCUAG
rnacentral:lncRNA from 14 species